rnacentral:lncRNA from 1 species
CACCCCCAACAUAAUAAUAUCCCAAUUUUUAGUUAAUAGUGUUUGCAUUAUCAUAAGCACACAUAUGUUGUUCACUGACUCUGCCUCCUUUUGUGAAAAACCUGUCAUUUCUCCUGCCAACAAUAUUUCCCUCUUUUGUCUCAUUCAUCUUGAUUUCCAUGUAAUGAUUGCUAUUUCUUCCCCUAAACGUUUUUGUGUUUUUAGUAGAAAUGGGGUUUCACCAUGUUGGUCAGGCUGGUCUCGAUCUCCUGAGCCUGUGAUCCACCCACCUUGGCCUCCCAAAGUGCUGGGAUUACAGGCGUGAGCCACCGGCCCCAGCCUAGUAUUGCUUACUUUUAUUAAGUCUUUCUUGAAGCUCUCAAUUUAGAUUUCAUGGAAAAAAAGGUUUCGUUUCCCACUCAUAUUUCAUUGGUUUAUGAAAUACUUAAUUAAACCGUGUAAUUGAAAUACCAAGAACAGCUAACUGGCACAAGCAGGAUCAGAAGUAAAUACAUCUAAUCUUUGUAUGUGACUCAAUCCGUAGGAACAGAAGGACUUGAGUGUUCUGGAAGUAACCUGCCACCCUCUAGUCUUUUUUUUUUUUUUUUUUUUGAUGCCAUGUAUUUAUUUAUUUAUUUAUUUUUAUUAUACUUUAAGUUUUAGGGUACAUGU